GACGAACGCUGGCGGCGUGCCUAACACAUGCAAGUCGAGCGGAGGCAUACGAGGAGUAAUCUGAGUAUGCCUGAGCGGCGGACGGGUGAGUAACGCGUGAGCAACCUGCCUUCCACAGGGGGAUAACGUACCGAAAGGUACACUAAUACCGCAUGAGACCACGGUACCGAUGGUAGUGGGGUCAAAGGAGCAAUCCGGUGGGAGAUGGGCUCGCGUCCGAUUAGGUAGUUGCGGGGUAACGGCCCACCAAGCCUGUGAUCGGUAGCCGGCCUGAGAGGGUGAACGGCCACAUUGGAACUGAGAGACGGUCCAAACUCCUACGGGAGGCAGCAGUGGGGAAUAUUGGGCAAUGGGGGGAACCCUGACCCAGCAACGCCGCGUGAGGGAAGAAGGUUUUCGGAUUGUAAACCUCUGUUCUUGGAGAAGAGUGGAAGACGGUAUCCAAGGAGGAAGCCCCGGCUAACUACGUG
rnacentral:rRNA from 1 species